UGCUGCAGGAGUGCUGGUCUGCAGCCUUGUUGCUGCCUGUGCUUCUUGGACUGAUGCUGAAGCAAAGAAAAAAAACCCUUUUUCUUCAUUAGCUGGGAGAUGAAUGGCAUAAAUCAGUGAGGAGUUCCCUAGACUGUCAUGUUGGUGGUAGCCCUACUACUCCUGCAAGAACAACUCUUCACCUAUGGAUCUCCUGCCUACACAGAGGAACAUGCUUCAGAGCAGAGGACUAGACAUGCAGGGAGGGAUUUUAAUCCCACAAAGAUGCCCCAGAGGAGUCCACUGCUGGGCUGUUGUCAUGGAAACAGUUAUUUUGGGGGAUUCGAGACUGGCUCCAAACAAAGGUUAAAGGGAAGAAAAAAACCCUAAGGGACUGGAUGCACAGAAGGUGAGAUUUUCCUCAGCACAGCAAAAUUUGUGAAUGUCUGAACCAGCAGCAAGUCCUCCAAGGUGUGUGGGUUGGAGGUACGUCGGGGCUGGAAAUGGAUGCUGUGCCUCAUGCGGGAGCUGGUCGGGAGCGUGGUGCUUGGGCUCUGGCUCCACUGCGGGUCACCCAAAGGUCUGUUCCUCCUCCUGCCCUCACCUCUCAUCCUCCUACACUGUCGAGGUGCUGCUGCCUAAGGCUUUACUUGGAGCAGAGAUGAUAUGUGUUGGAUGGUGGUUAUUUUUCACACCUCUUCUGCUGUUCAGGUAACAGAUCUAUGUCUGUGCAGGUUUUAAUGGCUCCAUGCAUUAAUGGCAGUGCAGCAUUCACAGUUGUAAC